rnacentral:lncRNA from 1 species
AAUUGUCGUUAUCUAUAUCUGAUUUAGUCAUUUCAUAUGGGUAAUUAGAAAUCUGUAUCUACCUUCAGAGAUGGAAAUCAUAACGAUUUCGCAAAGCAUGACACAAAAAUAUGAGCAUUCAUGAUUUAUUUGAUUUUAUCUAUUGUCAAGUAUGCUGUGUGUUUUAUUCUGAUUGUUGUGACUAUAACGUGAUGUCUUACUUUAAUAAAUAAAUUGUCUUCAUAAGGUAAGAUGGGUCUACGACGUGACCAAAAGGGUAUGUGAUUAUAUUAUAAUUAUUCACCAUUUAAAACCUUACGAUGUUAUUUAAAUAUUGUUUUCUUUACUGAGCAUAUAGAACUUACUCUUUCCACGCCCCCCAGAUGAGGAAGAUAGUAAGGAACCAUCAGCUGAACGACCCAUUGAAGUCUAUAAAGAUCCCAUGGAUCUGCAAACCUUGAGUGUAUGAUCGUCCACGCACUCUGAUGAGUCUAAUAGUAUAAUGAUAGAAGUCGUCCUCUUUUGUAUUUUGACAUUGUAUUUUGUAGCCACUUUUAGCCUCAGUUACAUAUAUGUAAUUAGAACUCAUAUAUUU